CCUACGGGUGGCAGCAGUGGGGGAUAUUGCACAAUGGGGGAAACCCUGAUGCAGCGAAGCCGCGUGAGUGAAGAAGUAUUUCGGUAUGUAAAGCUCUAUCAGCAGGGAAGACAAUGACAGUACCUGACCAAGAAGCCCCGGCUAACUACGUGCCAGACGCCGCGGUAAUACGUAGGGGGCAAGCGUUAUCCGGAUUUACUGGGCGUAAAGGGAGCGUAGACGGUUAUGUAAGUCUGGAGUGAAAGCCCGGGGCCGAACCCCGGGACGGCCUUGGAAACUGUGUAACGGGGGUACAGGAGGGGCAGGCGGAAUUCCUGGUGUAGUGGUGAAAUGCGUAGAUAUCAGGAGGAACACCGGCGGCGAAGGCGGCCUGCUGAACUGAAACUGACGUUGAGGCUCGAAAGCGUGGGGAGCAAACAGGAUUAGAUACCCGUGUAGUC
rnacentral:rRNA from 1 species